rnacentral:rRNA from 2 species
GGGUAACCUCGCCCAUAAGACUGGGAUAACUCCGGGAAACCGGGGCUAAUACCGGAUAACAUUUUGAACCGCAUGGUUCGAAAUUGAAAGGCGGCUUCGGCUGUCACUUAUGGAUGGACCCGCGUCGCAUUAGCUAGUUGGUGAGGUAACGGCUCACCAAGGCAACGAUGCGUAGCCGACCUGAGAGGGUGAUCGAGCAACGCCGCGUGAGUGAUGAAGGCUUUCGGGUCGUAAAACUCUGUUGUUAGGGAAGAACAAGUGCUAGUUGAAUAAGCUGGCACCUUGACGGUACCUAACCAGAAAGCCACGGCUAACUACGUGCCAGCAGCCGCGGUAAUACGUAGGUGGCAAGCGUUAUCCGGAAUUAUUGGGCGUAAAGCGCGCGCAGGUGGUUUCUUAAGUCUGAUGUGAAAGCCCACGGCUCAACCGUGGAGGGUCAUUGGAAACUGGGAGACUUGAGUGCAGAAGAGGAAAGUGGAAUUCCAUGUGUAGCGGUGAAAUGCGUAGAGAUAUGGAGGAACACCAGUGGCGAAAGCGACUUUCUGGUCUGUAACUGACACUGAGGCGCGAAAGCGUGGGAGCAACAGAUUAGAUACCCUGGUAGUCACGCGUAACGAUGAGUGCUAAGUGUUAGAGGUUCCGCCCCUUUAGUGCUGAAGGUUAACG